rnacentral:snRNA from 1 species
AGCUUUGCGUAGUGGCAGUAUCGUAGCCAAUGAGGUUUAUCCGAGGCGUGAUUAUUGCUAACUGAAAAAUUAUUUAUUUAAUUUUAUUACUUUUUAAAAAAAUUUGCUAUAGUGCAUGUGCA